ensembl:lncRNA
UCUUUCACUUUCUAUUUUGCCUUGGACAAAAGGGUUUAGGAUUUAAGAAUGGCGGGUUUAUUAGAAAAAAUAAAAGACCUCUACCCAGACCAGGCAAGAGCAAUUGAAAAAGAAGAUUUCCGCAGUGACGACGACAUCCGGACAUUGACCAGAGAGGAUCUAGAUGAACUGCUUGGCCCUAAGAACCUCAAGCAGAGAAAGGCCGUUUAUGAACUGAUACACCAGCAGAAGCCAAUUGGGGAUCUUUUAAAAGACUUAAAAGCUUUUAUCCCUGCAGAAUCUAUGGAAGGUGUGUAUUAUCCCCUAAAAUAUGUCCAUUGGGUGUUCAUGUUCUUUGUAAUGUCCACUGUUAUUCCUAUUGUUGCUACUGAGCAUUUCUCUGUCUAUAGCUGCCCUGACAGAGAAUGGGGUCUUGAGUGGCUACCUGCAGAUCAUGAAGGACUUGACGUCCCAAGUAGGAAAGGUCCAAUCAUUUUUGCAGGCACAUGUGAGCCUGCUGGAGGAACACAGUUAUGAUUAUAAGGCGGUGAAAGGUAUCGUCAUCCUAUCUAUUGUGAAAUAUAAAAUAGCAUAACAGAAAAAUCAUUAUAAACCAUCUCCUUUUCCUGGCAUAUGUGUUUCUUGAGAGCCAGAACACAAUUUAUCUAUUAUUUCGCUCAAACAAAAGCAAGGAAUCUUCAAAAUCAUGUGCAUAAAUAUGCGCUUUGUUGACUCAACAGUGCCACGCACAGGAAGUAAUGCGCAACAAGUUAGCAAUCUACCUCCAACACCAACAGGUAAAAGUUCAUCACCUGGAUUCUGGAAUUUUUUUGGUUACGGGCAUGCUAAGGAAGUCCCCAUUUCAAGCUCUCCAGAGAGCGGUCAAAAAAGAUGGCUUUGACCUUAGAUCAGAUACUGACCCAGAUCCUUAUCCCAGCAACGUGGACCCAGAUGAGCCACUAGGAGCCCACAAAGCACAGCCUGUAGCAGAGGUUUCAUCCUCUGUUGCAACACAGCAGAUAAGUAUGACUGAAAAACUCCAUACUGUAACAUUCCAGUCUAUUGUAAGCGGCAAAACAUUAAACUGCGAAAAUACCAUAUUGGAACAAUUGAGGAACAGGGGAAAAGUGAUUCUUACAGAGACAGAAGACAGCCCCCAGCUCAUUAUUGUGUUCUGUCCAAUCACGUCACGGAUUGACUCAGACUUGGAGAGUGUCAUGAAUAAACAUCCAGAGUCAUUGGUUGACAAACCUGUUAUUUUGGUGAUGAUGCAUCACAGAUACAAUCCCAACGAAGUAGUCAUCCAGAAGCCAGGGUCAGUCCUCAAGAAAUGGAACAUUGCGUUGGUUGUCAACGUUUUCUACCAAGAAACCGUGCAUGGAUUGGUGCCCUGCGUCAUGAACAACCAGGCGCUCGAUGAAAUGCACACCACAUUAAUGAAACACUGUGAAAAAAGCAUCUGUGAAUGUGUCGACGAUAGCGACAUUGCAAUGUCGGACCCCUGCUGUCAUAAUAGCAGUGCUUCCGAAUCGUUGGUUCAAUCAGGAAAUGACAAUAUGGCUUUGCUUGCUCAUGAAUGCAACACUGGUACUAGUAGUAAUGUCAUCUCCCAAAGGACUAGCAGUACAAGUAGUCAUGACCACUGGAGUGGUAGGCGUCCUUGUGUGGAUGCACGUCCCAUUGGAAGCCGUGGCAUAGCUCAUCAUGAUGACACACACGCUUUUCAAGGCCACCCAAAAAGUAUGGGUGAUUAUGUCGCUUCAAGUCACAGCAGGUUGAGGGGUGAUAAUGACACACACGCUUCUGAUUUUCAAUGCAAACAAGCAGGUAAUGUUGGUAAUGCCAGAACACGUGAUAGUAGAAACAGUGGGACGGAUGGUGAUGACCACACUGGUAAGGUAGAUAAAGGAGCUUCCAAGAAAAAUUAUUUUAAGUGGUAGUGAUGGACAUUGUUCAUCUAUGUGCUGCCAGUGCUAGUAAAGCCAUUUUUUAUUUCAUUUCUCAAUCAGGAAUAUUAUCUUGUGUGAAACAAUGGCGUCAUGUGUUCAUGAAGGGAAUAGUGGGUUAAUAUAUUUGAAUUGGAUCAAAGGGUAGGCUAUCUUUUUAAUGAUUAUAUUCGUAUAAUAAAGCACUGUUACAAGAGUGCUUCAUAGAUAUACUUUAUUGGGCAUUGUUUUUUGGAUGAAAAAAGUAGGCUAAUGCAUCACUUCUAAUGCAUCAGCUUCCUUCAAGCUAAAUCAUUAAAAUAUGUUCAAUAUGCUUCUGUAACAAAGCAAUAUAAAUAUGUAAAAUAUGCAAAGUCCACAGAUGUUUUUUCAAUGAUGUAUUUCAAAUAAAGUCAAUGGAUUAAUCCCAUUCAAUACAUCAGGAAUGUUUUUGAUGUCACGAUGUACAAGCCCUACGGACGGGCCUCUCGCUCUCGACCCUCUUUGCCGAACUCCCCCAAAGCAUGGCCCUGGCUGCGUUGUUUACAAACGGUAGCAGUUCCCGGAAGUUAAAGGAGCACAUGCUAGUAGCUAGUGCAUGUGAGUAUAUGUCCUUGUUUGAAUAAAGAAAUAAUACUUUAGCCAUCUCUUAACUAAUAUCGAAGUAUAUAACCAUCUCUAACCAAUCACCUACGCAUCGCGUCAUGAGCCAAUUACCAUAGCGUUUUUCUCGUCAGAGUAGGCAGAUCGUACCAGAAAUGCAUUGCGACUGUAAUGACGAGAUAUUGAGGUCUUCUCUCAGCCUACUUCCUUAUGUGCAGGCGGGAGCUAUAUAUUCGGCAGUUUGGAUUGGGCGGAUUCUGUCAAUCCCUGCAUUGACCAAUUAAAAUGCGUCUUUCACUUUCUAUUUUGCAUUGGACAAAAGGGUGAAUUGGCCAUGCCAUUGUAAAAUCAAAUUAUUUGAUAGUUCAUCUAUAUCUUAUAUUUAACCAAUACUUUAAAGUUUGUCAUAUUUCCCAUUAGGUUUAGGGUUUAAGAAUGGCGGGUUUAUUAAAAGAAAUAAAAGAUCUCUACCCAGACGUGGCAAGAGAACUCGAAAAAGCAGAGUUCCGCAGCGACGACGAAAUCCGGACAUUGACCAGAGAGGAUCUCCAUGAACUGCUUCGUGGCCCUAAGAAGCUCAAGCAGAGAAAGGCCGUUUAUGAACUGAUACACCAGCAGAAGCCAAUUGGGGAUCUUUUAAAAGACUUAAAAGAUGUUAUCCCUGCAGAAUCUUUGAAAGCUGCCCUGACAGAGAAUGGGGUCUUGAGUGGCUACCUGCAGAUCAUGAAGGACUUGACGUCCCAAGUAGGAAAGGUCCAAUCCUUUUUGCAGGAACAUGUGAGCCUGCUGGAGGAACACAGCUAUAAGGCGGCGAAAGUGCCACGCACAGGAAGUAAGGCGCAAAAAGGUAGCAAUUUACCUCCAACACCAACAGGUUUCGGGCAGGCUAAGGUAGUCCCCAGUUCAAGCUCUCCAGAGAGCGGUCAAAGAGAUGGCUCUGACCUUAGAUCAGAUACUGACCCAGAUCCUCAUCCCAGCAACGUUGACCCAGAUGAGCCACUAGGAGCCCACAAAGCACAGCCUGUAGCAGAGGUUUCAUCCUCUGUUUCCACAGAGCAAAUGAGAAAGACUGAAAAACUCCCUACUCUAAAAUUCUUGUCUAUUGUAUCUGGCGAUACGUUUAACCAUGAAAAUAUCAUAUUGGACCGGUUGAGGAGCCGGGGAAAAAUGAUUCUGGUGAACACAGAGGACAGCCCCAAGCUCAUUAUUGUGUUCUGCUCAAUCCAGUCAGAGUUUGACUCAGACUGCCUCGCUAUCAGAUUGAAUUGCCCAGAGUCAUUGUUUGACACACCUGUCAUUUUGGUUAUGAUGCAUCACACAAUGAAACACAACAAAGGACUCAUCCAGAAGCCAGGGCCAUCCCUCAAGAAAUGGAACAUUGUGUUGGUUGUCAACAUUUUCUACCACGUAACCUUGUGUGGGUUGCUACUCGGCGACAUGAACGACCAGGCGGUCAAUCAAAUGCACACGUUAUUACUGAAAUACUGUGGAAAAAGCAUCUGCGACAAGUGUCAACGAUAGAGACAUUGCAAUGUCGGACCCCUGCGGUCAUAAUAGCAGCGCUUCCGAAUCGUUGGUUAGAUCAGGAAAUGACAAUAUGGCUUUCCUUGCUCAUGAAUGCAACACUGGUACUAGUAGUAAUGUCUUCUCCCAAAGGACUAGUAGUAGCAGUAGUUAUGGUAGUCAUGACAACUGGGAUGCUAGGGUUCCUAGUGUGGAUACACGUCCCAGUGGAAGCCAAGGCAACCCAAAAGGUAUGGUUGAUAAUGUCGCUACAAGUCACAGCAGUUUGAGGGGUAAUAAUAAUAAUAAUAAUAAUAAAUGAAAUUUAUAUAGCGCUUAAUAUGGUACUCUAAGACGCUUAAUGAUACACACUUCUGGUUUUCAUUGCAACCAAGUAGGUUAUGGUGGUAAUGCCAGAACACGUAUUAGUAGAAGCAGCGGGAUGGAUGGUAAUGACCACAGUGCUGGUAAGGUAGAUCAAGGAAGCAGAGCUGGUUUCAAGAACCCUCUCUAAGAGGAAAGGAAGGAAAUUGUUCAUCCAUGUGCUGCCAGUGCUAUAGUAUUGUUUUUAUUUUUUUAUUCCUCAAUCAGGAAUAUUAUGUUUUGUGUGAAACAAUGGCAUCAUGGGUUAAUGAAGGGAAUGGUGGGUUAAUAUAUUUGUAUUAGAUCAAAGGGUAGGCUUAUCUUUUUAAUGAUUAUAUUUGUACAAUAAAAGUACUGAUACAAGAAUGCUUCAAGCUAAAUCGUUCAAAAAAAUAUCGAAGCCUUCAAUUUACCAAUGCCAAUAACCAAUGCAAUGUAUGAUAAAGCCUUGAUUUACCAAAGCGUUCAAUAUGCUUCUGUGACUAUGCAAUAUAAAUAUUUAAAGUAAACACUCCGAAGUCAGAGUCCACAGACGUUUUUCCAAUGAAGUAUUUCAAAUAAAGGCAAUGGAUUAAUCCCAUUCAAUGCAUCAGGAAUGUUUUUGAGACCUGUCG